GAUGAACGCUGGCGGCGUGCCUAAUACAUGCAAGUCGAGCGAACGGACGAGAAGCUUGCUUCUCUGAUGUUAGCGGCGGACGGGUGAGUAACACGUGGAUAACCUACCUAUAAGACUGGGAUAACUUCGGGAAACCGGAGCUAAUACCGGAUAAUAUUUUGAACCGCAUGGUUCAAAAGUGAAAGACGGUCUUGCUGUCACUUAUAGAUGGAUCCGCGCUGCAUUAGCUAGUUGGUAAGGUAACGGCUUACCAAGGCAACGAUGCAUAGCCGACCUGAGGGGGUGAUCGGCCACACUGGAACUGAGACACGGUCCAGACUCCUACGGGAGGCAGCAGUAGGGAAUCUUCCGCAAUGGGCGAAAGCCUGACGGAGCAACGCCGCGUGAGUGAUGAAGGUCUUCGGAUCGUAAAACUCUGUUAUUAGGGAAGAACAUAUGUGUAAGUAACUGUGCACAUCUUGACGGUACCUAAUCAGAAAGCCACGGCUAACUACGUGCCAGCAGCCGCGGUAAUACGUAGGUGGCAAGCGUUAUCCGGAAUUAUUGGGCGUAAAGCGCGCGUAGGCGGUUUUUUAAGUCUGAUGUGAAAGCCCACGGCUCAACCGUGGAGGGUCAUUGGAAACCGGAAAACUUGAGUGCAGAAGAGGAAAGUGGAAUUCCAUGUGUAGCGGUGAAAUGCGCAGAGAUAUGGAGGAACACCAGUGGCGAAGGCGACUUUCUGGUCUGUAACUGACGCUGAUGUGCGAAAGCGUGGGGAUCAAACAGGAUUAGAUACCCUGGUAGUCCACGCCGUAAACGAUGAGUGCUAAGUGUUAGGGGGUUUCCGCCCCUUAGUGCCGCAGCUAACGCAUUAAGCACUCCGCCUGGGGAGUACGACCGCAAGGUUGAAACUCAAAGGAAUUGACGGGGACCCGCACAAGCGGUGGAGCAUGUGGUUUAAUUCGAAGCAACGCGAAGAACCUUACCAAAUCUUGACAUCCUUUGACAACUCUAGAGAUAGAGCUUUCCCCUUCGGGGGACAAAGUGACAGGUGGUGCAUGGUUGUCGUCAGCUCGUGUCGUGAGAUGUUGGGUUAAGUCCCGCAACGAGCGCAACCCUUAAGCUUAGUUGCCAUCAUUAAGUUGGGCACUCUAAGUUGACUGCCGGUGACAAACCGGAGGAAGGUGGGGAUGACGUCAAAUCAUCAUGCCCCUUAUGAUUUGGGCUACACACGUGCUACAAUGGACAAUACAAAGGGCAGCGAAACCGCGAGGUCAAGCAAAUCCCAUAAAGUUGUUCUCAGUUCGGAUUGUAGUCUGCAACUCGACUACAUGAAGCUGGAAUCGCUAGUAAUCGUAGAUCAGCAUGCUACGGUGAAUACGUUCCCGGGUCU
rnacentral:rRNA from 1 species